rnacentral:lncRNA from 1 species
GUGGAGGGCCCAGCAGGAAAUGUUUUUACACCCAGGGCCAAAUGCUAAUCCUUCACUGAAGCUUUUAAUAUAUUUAAAUGUUUAGGCGAAGGAGGCAAAAAACGGAUUCCAGUAGAAAUCACUCGACAUGUGGGAUAUGGAGAUUUCUCAAGUUGGUUAAGUCUAUAUUACAUUCAGUGGACUUCCUCUUCAAUUUAGGAUUACCUUAAAGGAGCACACUCUAAUUCAAAGAGAAAGGGAAUUGGCUUGAAUUAUCCUUUAAGCAACUACCAGCAUGAAACUUUUCGUUCCUUAAAUGCGUGUUUCUGGGACAAAGCACGAAUAAGUUCUAUACCUAUCCAGGUGCACGUAUUUCUUCAUUUCUUCAUUUUCACUGGCUGCACAUUGUGUUGUCUUGAAAUACUUCUUUGGGCAUAACUAGACUUGACAUGUACUUGCGAUUCAUAAACUAUUACAAAUAUCAAACCACGCUCCUCCAAAUACGGCUAAAGGAUUCUGGGGAAAACUCGGUAACAUUGUCUUGGUUUGUAAAGUGGUUUGAAUUUUUCACGAUGGCAUCAAAUAUUUGCGAAACUGAACGAACUAGGUUCUUCCAGUAAGCAGUGGUGGAUUUUUCAGUGCCGUUUUCACUCGUGUCUCUUAAAGUAACUGCACAUAUGCCUUCUCGAGCAAAUUCCUUUCUAUGAAGUCCUCACAAAGGUGUUUCGAGUUCCCAUUUCAGAUACGUCUCCCUUUUGUGACCUUCUCCCCAAGGGCUGCGGUGCACACUCCGGUAGUUAUCUGUCCCAAACCCAUUUUGAAACUCGGCUUUCUCAAUAAAAAUGUCAAAACCAGCGGCCUUUCAGAGUAGCUGCUAUGAACACGAGCCCUUUCUUCACAGCCGGCCUGACCGUGUCUUCAGUCUCCAUCAGAGACCUGCUGCGUGUGGACACGCAUAGCAGUUUUCCCAACAGAGACGCAUCGAAUGCCCUUUUCCGGAAACAACACUUCCAGAAAUGUGCUGACCAAGAAGAAACAGCAGGGGGAUAGGAGCCUUGGGCUGAGCUCAUUCAAAGAAAUGUAGAGCCAGGCUCCCAAGAGAGAUGGCUCAAGACAAUCCCCGUGGCAGUGAUUGGCUUCAGCAUGGGCUUGGAAAUAGACGCUUCCAUGGCCAUCUGCGUUUCAGACGAAGGAGCUACUAGUGUGAAAUGAAGUUUAAAGGAUCUUAGAACCCGUUCAAGAUUGCUAUUGGCACUAGCGUUCUUAAUAGGAUCUGAAGACGCGCUUCUGGUAAUAGAGGAAAACACAGGCCUAACACUCGGAAAAAAGAUUUCCCCCUUCAAAAUAUAACUAAAAGACUAAAAGGUAAGUGUGUGUCCGAAUGUAUGAUUCAGAAAAGACCUCUUGUUUCUAGCUAUGUGUGUAAUCCCCCUCUGGAAGACGUGUCUUGACAGCCCCCAACUGCUUUUCACUGGCGGCUUCUUGAUCUCUUUGCUGUUUUGUUUUUCUUAAAAAAUUCUAUUCCCAUUUGCCAUUAUUCAGCUGCUUAAUGCUGAUGUUCUACAGCUUGUAGACGCAGGCUUCAUGAUGCAAACUGGCGUCCAGGAGCAAAAUGACUGUUUGGAACCAGUAAGACCAGAGGGACAGGAGACCGUCACACCCGCUCCCCAGGGCAGUUGGCUGAGUGCUAUGGGGACGUGGGCCCUGUCACAGAAAGCAUCGGGUAAAACUU